rfam:Verticillium dahliae VdLs.17 supercont1.3 genomic scaffold, whole genome shotgun sequence.
UUCUCACCACGGAUCUGUGCCCAGCGAUCCUCUAGCCUGCGCGUUAGAGUUGAUUUCUGCGGCAUCUCGAUUUCACCCCAAGGAGCCAUCACUUAUGAUGUCAAUCAUCCAAUCGGCAGAUCCAAGAACGACCAGCCCGGGAAGCCUCGCUCGCCGUAAAAAGCUGAGCUUGGGGGAACGGGAGCACUGGGGCCGUCAUAUUCCAAACCUUUUCACCGAGAUCGUCGAUCGAUGAGGUUGGAGGCAAACCAUUUCGGCUACAACU